rnacentral:rRNA from 1 species
UACGUAGGGUGCGAGCGUUGUCCGGAAUUAUUGGGCGUAAAGGGCUCGUAGGCGGUUUGUCGCGUCGGGAGUGAAAACAUCCAGCUUAACUGGGUGCUUGCUUUCGAUACGGGCAGACUUGAGGUAUGCAGGGGAGAAUGGAAUUCCUGGUGUAGCGGUGAAAUGCGCAGAUAUCAGGAGGAACACCGGUGGCGAAGGCGGGUCUCUGGGCCGAUACUGACGCUGAGGAGCGAAAGCGUGGGGAGCGAACAGG